GCCUGGGUGGCUCAGUCGGUUAAGUGGCUGACUUUGGCUCAGGUCAUGAUCUCGUGGUUCGUGGGUUCAAGCCCCAUAUUGGGCU
rfam:Felis catus breed Abyssinian Contig97035.1, whole genome shotgun sequence. [26-MAY-2016]